CACCCUUGCCAGUCUCCCAGACGUUCAUCCCUGUGCUCAUCAGGCUCCUCAGCCAUCCUUUGCAGAUUUCCCCCCAUGCAGGAAAGACCACGUGGAGGUUCUUCAGAGCAGAAACACCGGAGGGCGCAGUGGACAGGAUGGCGGUGGCCUGGAUCUCUUCAGCUGUGUUGGCUCUGGAACAGUCCCCGGACAUGGUGAUACAAAAAGGCCACUCUGUGAAUCUGAGAUGUUCCAAGAAGAAAUCCUCCAGCACAGCUGUGUUCUGGUACUGGCUGCCUUCAGGGAAGGACUCCAGGCUGACCUUUGUGGCUUCUGCAGUGGAAGGUGGUAAUGCAAUUGUUGAGAAGGAUCUCGAGAGCCAUUUCAAGACCAGUAAGAUAGAAGGGGACAGUGUCACCCUCUUAAUAGAGCAUGCCUUUCUCAAUGAUUCUGGCACGUAUUACUGUGCUGAGAGUGAAACACAGUGACUAGGCUGCUGAGGGAGCUGAGCACAAACCUCUCCCUUCACAAACAGGACCUGCUUUCCUCCUUCUGGGUGCUGCAUGAGGCAGGGAGAUCACUUCGAACUCCUUACUUCCUCUGCUUCCUUGCCUUCCCUU